rnacentral:rRNA from 1 species
ACAGCAGUAGCCACGGGAAUACGAAGGGGGCAAGCGUUGUUCGGAAUUACUGGGCGUAAAGGGCGCGUAGGCGGUGUACUAAGUUAGGCGUGAAAGCCCUGGGCUCAACCCGAAGUCUGCACGGGAAACUACUGGGCUUGAGUAAUGGAGAGGUGAGUGGAAUUUCCGGUGUAGCGGUGAAAUGCGUAGAUAUCGGAAGGAACACCUGUGGCGAAAGCGGCUCACUGGACAUUUACUGACGCUGAUGCACGAAAGCUAGGGGAGCAAACAGGAUUAGAUACCCCUGUAGUCCCUGUCUCUUAUAC